rnacentral:tRNA from 1 species
GCCUGGGUCGCUCAGUCGGUUGAGCGUCUGACUUUGGCUCAGGUCAUGAUCUCACGGUUCGUGGGUUCGAGCCCCACGUCGGGCU